rnacentral:rRNA from 1 species
AAAAACCCAGGUGGUGUGAGAUGGAUCCGCGUCUGAUUAGCCAGUUGGCGGGGUAACGGCCCACCAAAGCGACGAUCAGUAGCCGACCUGAGAGGGUGACCGGCCACAUUGGGACUGAGACACGGCCCAAACUCCUACGGGAGGCAGCAGUGGGGAAUAUUGCACAAUGGGCGGAAGCCUGAUGCAGCGACGCCGCGUGAGUGAAGAAGUAUCUCGGUAUGUAAAGCUCUAUCAGCAGGGAAGAAAAUGACGGUACCUGACUAAGAAGCCCCGGCUAACUACGUGCCAGCAGCCGCGGUAAUACGUAGGGGGCAAGCGUUAUCCGGAUUUACUGGGUGUAAAGGGAGCGUAGACGGCGACGCAAGUCUGGAGUGAAAGCCCGGGGCCCAACCCCGGGACUGCUUUGGAAACUGUGCUGCUGGAGUGCAGGAGAGGUAAGUGGAAUUCCUAGUGUAGCGGUGAAAUGCGUAGAUAUUAGGAGGAACACCAGUGGCGAAGGCGGCUUACUGGACUGUAACUGACGUUGAGGCUCGAAAGCGUGGGGAGCAAACAGGAUUAGAUACCCUGGUAGUCCACGCC